UCUGGCUCGAGGAAAAAGUCUCCAGCUAUAAACCCUACCUUCCAUUCCCAUCUCCUCCAUCGUCUCCACAAACACCGUCAAACAUCUUAUCGGCGGUAUGUACAACGUUAACGGCGCCGCCGAGAACGCUAUCGUGAAAAACAGCUGCAACAUUUUUUUUUCCUCUCUCUGUUUUUUUUUUUCAGGGGAAACGCAGAUCGUG